rnacentral:lncRNA from 1 species
UAAAUAAUUAUCUAAAUAUAAUAACCAUAAAUAAAAUACCAUGCAAUAAUAUCAGAUAGUAACUACCCUAAAUAACAAUCAUAAGGGAGACACAAUCCAAUACACAAAUCAUCUAUGGAUAGCCCUGCCAAGCCUCACCCAAUCCCGGGUGAGGAGUACGAAAAACUCUAGGGGCCCCUAUCCUACAACCCUGAUACUAAACCUCCGGACUUUCCUAUCAAGGGCCAUAUCUUCAAAAACUCGCAUUCUAGCCAUGUCAUGCCUAAUCACCUCUCCCCAAUACCUCUUAGGUCUCUCUCUGCAUCGCCAUGCGCCGACCAUCACUAGCUGCUCACAACUCCUCACCCGGGCAUCAGGACUUCUACAUAGCAGCUUGGUCAAUUGCAUACGUAAUGUCAAAUUUUCAUCAUCUUCAUACAAAUUAAACUAAUACAAAAAUGAUCCAGUAGCAGACAAAGAUCCCAAAUAUUGAAGAUCCAAACAAUCACAAAAAAGGCAUACCAGCGCUCUGAAAUCUCUACAACAACAGAGCAAAAAUCAACAGAGAAUUACUAACUCAAACGAUUAAUAGGACAAACAACAAAAAUCAAAGAAAACUGGAGAAAAACUUUACAGAGAAAAAAGGCAGUAAAAUCAACAGUUAACAGAGUGAACCGUUUCAGCCUUCGGGAAGCUAAAUAAAUUCCAACAUUGACAAAUAAUACCUUAACAGAGCGAUAGUGGUGAUACGGACCUUUCCAACACGUGACGGAACCUCGAAACGAUACCUUUGAUGACCAAUAAGCUUAAGAUGUUACUCUGAAUUUUGGUAGCUUUAAGCGUCAAAAUCAGAAGAAGACCAAACAACGGACAAGCACGACUGGGAGCUUCGCCGGAAAAUCGACCAAAGAAAACUCUGACAGUUCUCUCAAAACCCAGAAACAUUUUGCACUUGUGUCGCUCUAUUUUAUGUGUCUCGACGGUGUGUUACGGUGGUGUAAUGGUGGAGAUAAGGUCGCUUUGGUUCAACAGCCAACCAUGGAAAUGGCUGCUUUCUUCUUUCGCAGAGGGCGAGCCGAGCGGGGAAGGGGUAGUCGUUUUAUGUGGCUGUCGGAUGAGAAGAAGUAGAAGAAAGGACGACGAUGGAGGUCGCCGGUGGUCAUUUAUGCUACGGAAGCCAAUCAAAAAAAGGGAAGCGGGUUUGUUAGCUCUUGUUUUUCGGCGUUUUCUCUCUUCUCCGUUCUGUAUUAUGUGUGUGCAUGUGUUGUGUGUUUAUUAAAAAGGUG